UCGCUACACUUUCCUACAACAGCCCGACUCUCUUAUGUGUCUGCUCACGUCUCGCCCUUCAAUAAGUUGAACAACUCACCCAGACUCAAUUCGAGUCAUAGCAUUUCUGGGUCUCUCUCGUUUUUCUCUCGAAAACCCUCUACUAUCUCUACUCUCACUCAGAGACUUCAAUCUCUUACAGUCACUGCUGCUAAAGGCUACAAAAUGAAAACCCACAAGGCAUCUGCGAAAAGAUUCAGGGUGACAGGUGGAGGAAAAAUAGUUCGGAGGAGAGCUGGGAAGCAGCAUUUGCUUGCCAAGAAGAACACCAAGAGGAAAUUACGACUCUCCAAAAUGCACCCAGUUAGCCGGAAUGACUAUGAUAAUGUGAUUGGGGCUUUGCCGUAUCUGAAAGUAAAUAGACAGGCAAAGUAGAGAUCAUUUCAUGUGAUAUGGGAAGAACUCAUGGGUCAGGGUUCUUGUGUUGCUUCUUGUAUGCAUUAGACAAUUAUUCAUGAUAUCCUUAUUCUUCUAAUCCAGAACUCAGUCAAGCUCUCUGAAAUUUCUAUAUUUGUUGAUCUUGUCGUACACAUACUGCAUGCCCUCUUCUUCCC
rnacentral:misc_RNA from 1 species